UACGAAGGGGGCUAGCGUUACUCGGAUUGACUGGGCGUAAAGGGCGCGUAGGCGGCUUGUACAGUCAGACGUGAAAUUCCUGGGCUCAACCUGGGGGCUGCGUUUGAUACGUGCGGGCUUGAGUUCGGAAGAGGGUCGUGGAAUUCCCAGUGUAGAGGUGAAAUUCGUAGAUAUUGGGAAGAACACCGGUGGCGAAGGCGGCGACCUGGUCCGAUACUGACGCUGAGGCGCGAAAGCCAGGGGAGCGAACGGG
rnacentral:rRNA from 1 species